UUCCGGUUGAUCCCGCCGGGACCCCACUGCUAUCGAGGUGGGACUUAGCCAUGCUAGUCGAACGACCAGAACUAUGUCUGGGAGUGGCACACUGCUCAGUAACACGUAGCUAACCUACCCUUAGGACGUGGAUACCCCCGAGAAAUUGGGGUUAAUCCGCGAUAGAUGUAAUGUCCUGGAAUGGUAUUACGUCUAAAGGUAUUUCAUACAUGUUUGAAAUAUGCCUAAGGAUGGGGCUGCGGCCGAUCAGGCUGUUGGUGAGGUAAUGGCUCACCAAACCUUUGACCGGUACGGGCCAUGAGAGUGGUAGCCCGGAGAUGGACACUGAGACAAGGGUCCAGGCCCUAAGGGGCGCAGCAACCGCGAAACCUCCACAAUGCACUCACGUGCGAUGGGGCUAUCUCGAGUGCCACCUGAUGAAGGUGGCUUUUCCUUGGUCUUCAAAGCCUUGGGAAUAAGAGGGGGGCAAGACUGGUGUCAGCCGCCGCGGUAACACCAGCCCCUCGAGUGGUGGGGAUGAUUAUUUGGCCUAAAGCGUCCGUAGCCGGCCGUGAAAGUCUUCCGUUAAAUCCAGCGUCUCAAGCGUUGGACCGCGGGAGAUACUACAUGGCUAGAGAGUGGGAGAGGUCAGCGGUAUUCUGGGGGUAGGAGCGAAAUCCUUUGAUCCCCGGAGGACCACCAGUGGCGAAGGCUGCUGACUAGAACACGUCUGACGGUCAGGGACGAAAGCUGGGGUAGCGAACCGGAUUAGAUACCCGGGUAGUCCCAGCCGUAAACGAUGCAUGCUAGGUGUUGGGUUGGCCACGAGCCACCCCAGUGCCGCAGGGAAGCCGUUAAGCAUGCCGCCUGGGAAGUACGAUCGCAAGAUUGAAACUUAAAGGAAUUGGCGGGGGAGCACCACCAGGCGUGAAGCCCGCGGUUUAAUUGGAUUCAACGCCGGAAAGGG
rnacentral:rRNA from 1 species